rnacentral:rRNA from 1 species
GAUGAACGCUAGCGGCAGGCCUAAUACAUGCAAGUCGAACGGUGUCUUCGGACAUAGUGGCGCACGGGUGCGUAACACGUAUGCAACCUACCUUACAUUGGGGGAUAGCCUUUCGAAAGGGAGAUUAAUACCGCAUAAGACAGUAGCUGGGCAUCCAGCAGCUGUUAAAGAUUUAUCGAUGUAAGCUGGGCAUGCGUCCAAUUAGCUAGUUGGUGUGGUAACGGCUCACCAAGGCAAUGAUUGGUAGGGGAACUGAGAGGUCAAUCCCCCACACUGGCACUGAGAUCCGGGCCAGACUCCUACGGGAGGCAGCAGUAGGGAAUAUUGGGCAAUGGACGCAAGUCUGACCCAGCCAUGCCGCGUGCAGGAUGAAGGCGUUAUGCGUUGUAAACUGCUUUUAUACAGGAAGAAACGACUCUUGCGAGAGGCAUUGACGGUACUGUAUGAAUAAGCACCGGCUAACUCCGUGCCAGCCGCCGCGGUAACAC